CAAUAAUUUGCCUGUAGGGUGAGAAUGGAACGUUCCCAAAUUGACAGCAAUCAAACAUUUUCUUUGGUGACAUCUGAAUCACUCUCGGAUCAUGGAUUCUAUAGUAAGAUAACACUGGCGUAAUGAAUGAGGAUGUUGAUGUGCUGGAAGAUGAAUCCAUGAUGUGCAACAAGAUCUAUGAUUUUUUAUACCCCAGGGAAGAACCAAGUCAAAGUCUUUAUGAGUGUGAGAAGUACAAGGAAGAUGAAUCUAGACAUUGAAAAUCUUGAGGAUGAUCAAAAUGAAGUGAAGAGAGUUUCUUAGUCCCAGCUCUCAGGAAAUGAGUUUGCAGACAAGGAAUUUCAAGCUUUUAUGAAAAAAAAAUCAAAGAGGACUUUUCAAAGCUCGCCGCAUCAAAUGUAAAAACAAUUCAUGAAAGGAAUUCCACUCUUUCGUCCUUCAGUUCAUGUCCCUGAUCUGAGUCUUGGGAGACCAUUGAAUGUUACAGAAAUCCGUUCAUUCGCCAAAAAAAUUUAUGCAAAGGAGCUCUACUGAGAUGCAUGGAGCUAAUUCUUCAGGGCUGAGAAAGAAGCGAAGUUAAAAAGAGAAAGAGCUAGCCAAGACAAUUGUGAAAAAUAAGCAAAAUGCUGAGAAGUUGAUAGAGAUUCAAAAAGAGAAGCUACUUUCUGUAAGCAGAAUAUUUCUUUUUCUCAUUUUGUAGGUUUAAUAUCCAAUUAUUUUUUUGUCCAUGCCUCGGUUCUCUGUGGCUGGAGGAUGUUCUAACUUUGGUUUCUAAGCUUAUGAUCAUAUAGCUUGUUCAAAACUACCCUUCAUUUCCAAAAUCAUUAAUCCAGGGACAUGUCGUUUCAUGCAUUUUUCAGGCUUGGUUCUGUGUAUGUGGAGCAGCAAUACUUUUGUUGACGGACAGUGGCGGAGCCAAAAAAUAUAUUUAGGGGGGGCCUAAAUUAAUUUUUUGUUAAUUUUCUUUCAAUUUUUUACAUCCAGGCUUGGGACCGAUAUAAUCAGUUUUAAAAAAGAUAAAACUUUGAUAGUGAAUAAGUUUAUUUUUUUCCUUCACAAAAUGACUUCCAAACAUC